AGCCAGUGCUCCUCCUCUACAGGAAAAUGAGCAGCCAGCAGAAACUAGAUGCUUCUCACUAUGGGGUGAGGGUGGAGAACCCACCAACUGCUGAGACAGUCAAUAGGCAUAUUAUUCAUCACACAUUGCUAGGAGAUUAACUGAGCAAACGUUCUGACAAAACUGAUUAAAGUCUUCAUCCUGUAACAGGAGAACAAAGAGACACCAAGUUAUUACACCCAGCCAAAUGCCAGAUGAUGAUUACAUGUAGUGGAAACACAAAGUAUGCAGUAGGUUCCUCCCCCUCCCCAAACGGAGGCAUGAAAAAUCUCCCCGUAAAUUGUUCUGGUAAUGUACAGAGACUUUUGGAAAGGAAGGCCAUCGUCUGUCAGGACCCUGAGACAUAAAACUAGACAUUGCAGCCCCCUGAGGAGUGAGUAGCAGGAGCUGGGCGAUGCCACCAGUGGCUCUUCCCUCUCUAAACCCCUGACUCUGAGGAGCCAAGACUAUGAUGAACUGUCAGCCAGUAUAAAGCAGAAAAAGGGCAGAUUUUACAGUUGCUGUGGAUGCCUGAUAUCAGCUUCUCUGGAAAAAUUCAAGGAUAUUUUUGGUUCAAGAUUAAGAAGUCACCAGAUAAAUUAUUAGCCAGCUGAAUCCUACUUAUUUUACAUAUAUGAGCAAACGACACUAUUGAAACAAUAUUCUGCACUUAGUGCUGUCAGUGGAUAUUCACACAUUGUUCUUAAUGUGUUGUUUCUUUCCCAGAGCAAUAUUAGUUUAGAUGUUUUAAACAUGAACCUGAUUUUACGUCUUCAUUUGCAGCCUGUUUUGCCCAGUAUUGACAAGAUGUGAGUUUUCUUUCCACCGUGAAGCUGCAGGCCUGGAUUCUCACUGUUUACCUCUACUGUUGUACAAAUUAUGUCAUUAUACUGGUCUAAAAAAUGUCAAUAAAGGAUUUUUAAUGGG